rnacentral:rRNA from 1 species
CUGCGGGAGGCAGCAGKGGGAAUANUGCGCAAUGGGGGAAACCCUGACGCAGCGAUGCCGCGUGGGUGAAGAAGSCCUUCGGGUUGUAAASCCCUUCAGUGGGGAAGAUGGUGACGGUACCCACAGAAGAAGCUCCGGCUAACUCCGUGCCAGCAGCCGCGGUAAUACGGAGGGGGCGAGCGUUGUUCGGAAUUACUGGGCGUAAAGGGCGCGUAGGCGGUGUGGCAAGUCAGGAGUGAAAAUUCCAGGCUCAACCUGGAACCUGCUUUUGAAACUGCGACACUGGAGUCCGGCAGAGGGUGGUGGAAUUCCCCGUGUAGAGGUGAAAUUCGUAGAUAUGGGGAGGAAGACCGGAGGCGAAGGCGGCCACCUGGACCGGUACUGACGCUGAGGCGCGAAAGCGUGGGGAGCAAACAGGAUUAGAUACCCUGGUAGUCCACGCUGUAAACGAUGAGUGCUGGUUAUCGCGGGUAUUGACCCCUGCGGUAACGGAGCUAACGCGUUAAGCACUCCGCCUGGGGAGUACGGCCGCAAGGCUAAACUCAAGGAAUUGACG